ensembl:lncRNA TPRXL tetrapeptide repeat homeobox like (pseudogene)
GUUCUGGCCAGGAGACUUUGCGUUCGGUUGGAAUUGUUACAGAGUUCAGCUGGAGGUUUCCUUCUCCCUGUGGCCUUUUCCCAGUUCCUCUGGCAGCCCUCCUCAAGGACCCCUGUGAGAUAAGUCAGAGGUGACUUUCCUGGGGACCCAGAGAACCCACAAGGCUUUUCCCACUGCUUACUGUAUUUUGCUCGGCUCUCUAAAUUGAAUCAAUUGCAGAACAGAGCAGGACCCAGGAUGCAAGACCCUAGGCAUCCCCAAGGCCUUCCACUGUCCCCAGGCCUUCCAAAGAGACAGCGGCAGGACCGCACAAUCUACAACUGGAAACAGCAGGAAGUGCUAGAAAAUCACUUUAAGGAGGAACAGUACCCAGACUAUGACACACGACAAGAGCUGGCGGAGAUGCUCAAUCUCAGGGAGUACCAAGUGCAGGUGUGGUUCAAGAAUCGCCGGGCCAAACGCUCUCGGGAGCGGUGGUUCCAGAAGCAGCU